rnacentral:rRNA from 1 species
AUUGAACGCUGGCGGCAGGCCUAACACAUGCAAGUCGAGCGGAGCGGCGGACGGGGGAGUAAGGCCUAGGAAUCUGCAUGGUAGUGGGGGAUAACGUCAGGAAACGGGCGCUAAUGCCGCAUCCUCUCAGAUGAGGCUAGGUCGGAUGAGCUAUAUGGUGGGGUAAAGGCAUACCAAGGCGACGAUCCGUAACUGGUCUGAGAGGAUGAUCAGGCACACUGGAACUGCGACACGGUCCAGACUCCUACGGGAGGCAGCAGUGGGGAAUAUUGGACAAUGGGGGAAAGCCUGAUCCAGCCAUGCCGCGUGUGUGAAGAAGGUCUUCGGAUUGUAAAGCACUUUAAGUUGGGAGGCGUUACCAACAGAAUAAGCACCGGCUAACUUCGUGCCAGCAGCCGCGGUAAUAC